UAAAAGAUCCAAUUUGAAAAGUAUCGAAUUUUUAAAAGGUCCAAUUUGGAAAGCAUUAAAUUUUUAAAAGGUCCAAUUUGGAAAGCAUCGAAUUUGCAAAGAAUCUAAUUUAGAUUACGUUAAUUACAUUAAUUACGUUAACACUUAGGCCAACUCAAUCUUCUGCGAAUGCAACAUGGUUACAUAGGAUCGCAAUAUUAGGUUUAUAAGUUUAGCUAAGUAGACAAUGAAAAGAAAACGACUAAGAAAACCGAGCUUGCUUUAUUAUUACACUUUCAUCGUUUAUGUAAUUAUAUUGAUUUCUUUCUUUUCCUGUAUAAGCUUCGUUGCACCAUCCCUUCUAAUUUCUUCUCUAAUCGUUUAUCGCGAGGAACUCUGAUAAUAUACAUAUAUAUAUUUGAUACAGAUUUCAAUGCGAUUUAAGCUCAGUGAAAAAAAAAUGAAUUAACGAUAUUCACGUCAUCUCGUUCAAUCGACUAAAAUGUAAUCCCUUCUUUAGGAUAAAAGAAAAAAAAAAAAGCGAAUUCUCGAAAUAUAUGUAAUCACAACUGUAUGUAUCGCCUGAGGGAAAAAUCAAAUAACUAUAACGUAUUUUUUUUAAUUCACGGAAUAGAUUGUGUGGAGUAUAACGAAGGAUAAGCAAAGACGAAACAAAGAAGUGGAGAAAAGUAAAGGAAUGAACGAUUAAGGUGUAGUCGCAAAUAAAUUCAUUCGAAAAAAAAAAAGAAAUUGUGAACAACAGCAACACGAAACAACCGCAGAACAAAAAAAAGAAAAUAACUCUUCUGUCCAAUUAGAACAAUACUAACGCUAUCAAUAAUGAACAUAUUACUAUACGUAAUAUUUAUUGAAUAUAAAUAAUUAAAAAAACAACACCGUAACGUGACGUUUCUUUGUUGCGACAAAAAAUGGGACUUGUUCUCGCGUACAAACGUGAAUUAAAAAAGAAAAAAAAAAAAAGAAGAGUCUUUGUACGAGAAAAGAAACGUCGCGAUCGAACGGUAAUAUCUCUGUCCAUUUUUUGGUAAUUCAAGAUUAUUAAAGAUGAAAGAAAAUUAAGACUCAUAAAUGUCACAGUGAUGCUACAUGCCUGCCUGGCAUAGGAUAUAAUAAAAUUCUUCGUUUCAGACAACAGGUUUUUAGUUUUUCUUUUAACGUUACAUUUGUUUCUUUUUUUCUAUUCGUUUCGUUGAGUUUUAAUCCUCUGAGUGUCAGACUAUUUUUCAGAUGAAAUAUUUCAACAAUCAUGCAUGAUCUUCAUGAAAUUUUUACAUAAUAAUAACAUAUUGGAAUUCAUUUAUUAUUAAAGAGAAAAUUUUUUAUAAAUGAAAGUAACAUCAUUAUUUGACACUCAAAGGGUUAACGAGAAAGUUUCGACAACUUGCAAUCGUUUCUUUUACACGCUAUGUUUUAUACAAUUAUUUUAUUUUUGUUUUAUAUGUACAUACAGGGUACUCAAAAAUUAAAUAAUCAAACAUUGCUGUUAUAAAGAAUGGUGUAUAUUUAUUUCAAUUUUAUGCAAUGUGAAUAAAACUUACAAAUUUCUUUAUGUGACUUUUGUAAUUAAGAAUAAAUUUUCAUUCUUAACAUUCUAAAAUCUAAGCUCCUCUUUUUAAAUUAUGGAACUAUCAAGAAAUAUAAUUUGUAAAAUAUUUUUCUUUUAAUCAUGCGACUGCAUUCUGUAUAAAAUUUGAUCGUUUAACUUUGAACAACCCUAUGUACAUUAUAAAAUAUCAAUUUUUUUUAUUUUUUUGUUGUUUAUUUUUUAAUUGCAGCGGAGCAUCUAGCAUUGACGGAGCUUACACAGCCUAUUCCAUCCCACGAUAAGACAAUGUCCAUUUUUAUCGUUAUAAUUAUCUAUGUGAUAAUCGUUCGCAACUGUACUUUGUACCCAUAACGGAUUCUAGAAAUAAUAUUUUCGACCAAUCGGUUUUACGAACUGUCUCUGGAAGACUUCCGAGUUUAACAUUACCCAACACAGAUGCAACCAGACACGGUCUAAGUUCCAAAAUAAUAAAAUAAAAACAAAUGGUUUGCACGGGUCCAGUUUCUCAGAAUAUUAAAAAAAUCUACACGAAUUUCUCUCCUAAAUAACAAAAGGCUGUGAAAAUCCUUUGCUAUUUUAUGCUGCACUCUUCUCGUUUCUCUAAUCAUCACUCUCUUUCUAUAUGCACUUAUCAUUUUUCAAACGUUCCGUGCCAUAUUUCUACAAUUACUUGUGUAGUAUAAUAAGAAUUAUUAUAUCGUCUAAAAAUUUUAUUUUAUAAUUUUUGGGCCUGUUUUUCUUUAUGCAAAAAUGAUUCACAAACGAGCAUUUAAUUCCUUUGCAAAUUUCCUCUAAAGAAAAAUUUUGAAUGCUAUCCACAGUGAGCCUACAUUUUCCAGUGUCGUCAAUUACGACAAAGUGCAAUCACGUUAAUAUUGAAUUCGGAACUCUUCUAAACGCUUCACGGUGAGAGACUGUUCGAACGAUCAUCGCUAAAAUACAUUAAAAAAAAAAAAAAAACUCACACAUGUAUAUGUAUAAUGUAAGCGAGUCGAGAUUGGUGUUAUAUUUUAAUGUAAUGUAAAGAGAGAAAAAAAAAUGAAAAGAGCAAAUAACAAAAGACAAAAACGUACGUGCGCAAAGUAAAAAAAAUACCAUCAACCACACUGGUACUUAGACGUUUAUCGACACAGUAUGUAAGAAUACUAUAGUACACGAUGUGCACCAGCUUUCAGGCCCAAUUACACAACCCUUUCCUUUCCCUUUCCCUAAUCAUCGUCCCUUCGUUUAUUGUUAGCGUAUUAACGAUAAGGAGGCUGACAUUGUACAUUGCAUUACGUCGAACUUGGUGCGACCAAAUAGCGUUGUCGACCGUGCAAUUUUCGUUCAUUGUAUGUACCUUCUCGAAUUCCCGAUUCAAAGAACCACGUAUUUUGGAAAUAAGGUUAAAGGAGUUUUUUUUCAUUCUGAACACUUUUAAACGAGAUAUUUAAUAUUUUAUGGUACUAUAAUACCGGUAUUCUGACUUGAGUACGAGCGAAUACCGGUAUUCUUUAUUUUAGAAUGGUCGCAUUUUUAUAUUUCUAGUUCUGGAGCCCAAAAAUACCGAUAUUUCAUACCUUGCAGUCCUCGAAUACCGGUAUUUUGGAUUCCAGAUUUCUCGAAAAUCUGUAUUUCCAUAUUUUGACAUGCUUAAAUACCGGUAUUCUGAUUUGAGAGCGAUAGAAUACCGGUAUUCUUUAUUUUAGGAUGGUCGAAUUUUUAUAUCUCCAGUUCUGGAACCCGAAAAUACCGAUAUUUCAUACCCUGCACUCCUCGAAUACCGGUAUUUCGGAUUCGGGAUUUCUCGAAUACCUGUAUUUCCAUAUUUCGACAUGCUUAAAUACCGGUAUUACCGCUUUCAAGAUGCUAAAAUAUAAAUUCAAUGGGUCGGGAAUUCGCGCUACUAUAAAGUAGAAUAACAUCUGUUCGAAUGUGCAGAGCAAGAGAAAUUAGUCGAGAAGAAAAUGAUCGAUACAUAGAUUGUAAGGUUUUUUGGAAAUUCUCUGUAGAUUCGUAGAUUCGCUGUGUCACUCCCUCCGGUACCUAGGUGACCGGAAAUAGGAAAGCCUAUUUUUGCAUUGCGUGAUUAAAGGCAGAGAACGUGUUUAGAGUCAGUUCCCAUUCAACUGAUAUCUAUUCGGAUGUCUUAUAUAAGACUAUGGGACGGUACAAGGACGAGUUCCGGGAUGUUCUGCUAUUUCAUUAUACACUCGCGUGAUCAAAUUAUCCCGUCUUUUCACUUGAAUUUCAUAAUUAAUUAUAAAUAUCAUUUCUUCCUUUCCUUACUUCAUUCAACUGUCAAUUAAACGUACAAAUCUUUUUUCUUUUUACGUAACUACUGACAAUAGCAAUUAAUUUUUUUGUUAAAUAGAGAUAAUUCAACGAUGACUAUGAUUUUAAAUUCAAUGAAGAUUGGGAUCUUGUUACUGUUGCAAUAUAGAAUUAUGUAACUUUUUCAUUUAAAAAGAAACAUUGACAAAUAAGAACACGAAGUAAAUCGAACUUGAACCGUCCUAAAAUUGUAACGAUACGUUGCUCUGAUCGAAAUCGUAAAAGUGCAAGAAAACUUGAUUACACGAAUGAAAAAUUUUCCAAAUAUGCCAUCGUUAAUUACUAUAUAAUCAAGUAUCAAAAUUCUACCCUCGAUAAAUUACUAAUUAUUGCAAAUUACUCGAAAACCUGACUGUACACAGAAUUCAAGGAAGCUGGUCAGGGAAAAAUCGUUCCACGUGAAUCGUGCGAUGUAAAUACGUUAAUACCAUGACUGGUUUCCAACGAAUCGUAAAAUCACUGUUACGAUCACGAUCGCAGCGACGAUCCAGCCGGCAGUGUAAUAUAAAGUAAGAAUACAUAGAUGAGAAAAAGGCGCUUAGGCGACUUUUUAUUUCGUGUUACGCAUUAGAGAGCGAGAGAGAGAGAGAGAAAGAGAACGAUUAAAUACGUCGCGUCGACGGAAAUUCAAAUUCCAUUAAUUAGAUCGAUAAUAAUUAGCAUCGUACCUUUCUCGCGCACGCUGCUGCUACUGUGCACGUUGCCCGGAGACCGUUUGUGAACUGAACGACGUGAUCGCUCACUUGCACGAGUGUAAACACAUACCGUACCAAAACAUAUGUAACUAAUCGACACCCUUUAUCCGACUGCUUGAUGGACCAGUUUCAUUCUGACAAUUUAUGCAUUGUAUAUGAUUCUUUUUUUAGUUAACAUCACUUUUCAGCGACUACCUUUUAACGCGUUCGCUAUCAGCCUCACAUUUUUUAAUAAAAUUAACCCUUUCGCUAAGAGCGAAAAUUAAUUAUAAUUAGUAAGUCUGUCGUAGAGUCCAAAGGAAAUAAUAUAAAAUACAAAAUACAUGGUUCAAAAUUAUAUUAUUUUAUAAUUAAAAAAAAAAAAAUGUUAUAUUUGAAUGCUAAUAGCGAACGAGUUAUCAGGUGCCUUAAGGUCCGUUCACAUGUGUGGCAUAAUAAUUAUUCGAAAUACCUGUAUUCUUUGUGGAAAUAUAAAAGUACUCUUUUUCGUUGAACGAUCUUCGAUUUAGAAUAUGAGAAUUUUAUUUAUAAAAAAUGUGUCUAUGUUUAAUGAGUGAACGGACCUUUAAUCACACAGAGUUAAUCAGACGCACAGAGAAAAAUCCGAUCGCAGGCGUACGCACUAGUGGCACGACGUGCUUAGACGGUGAAGAGAGAUAAAAGUAAUGAAAAGAAAAAAAAAUUUAAGAAAAUAUAUGAUUAAAAGUGUAGGUAGGUGAUAUAUUCCAUGUAACUUCUUCGAAGGAAGCUAAUCAUUCUUUUAUUAUUUCACCUUUCGUUUUUUUUAUAGCGAAUCGCGCGGUUUGUCCCCCCCACCGUUUAUUGCCGUAAACGCAGACAGAAUAUACUUACUGAAAUAAAACUUUAUUCGAUCUCGUAGGCCAUCCGCGGGACUAAAAUGAUAUAAUUAUUCUGUGGAGUACACCGGAACUGUGUCGUAAACCGAGAGAUGACUUACUGUGUAAUAGUAUUAUUUUGUAAGCAGUCAAUAAUAUUAAUAAUUAUCGGAUGUAAGCUAAACAAAAUACCGUAUCACCCUCCUCCUCCAAACCAACAUAAAAGAAACAACCAAAAAAAAAAAAAGAAAAG